ACAUGCAAGUCGAACGGAAAUAAAGGAGCUUGCUCCUUUAAAUUAGUGGCGAACGGGUGAGUAACACGUGGGCAACCUGCCCCUGACUCUGGGAUAACUACUCGAAAGAGUAGCUAAUACCGGAUAUGAAACCUGAGGACAUCUUCGGGUUUGGAAAGUUUUUCGGUCAGGGAUGGGCCCGCGGCCUAUCAGCUAGUUGGUGAGGUAGUGGCUCACCAAGGCGACGACGGGUAGCCGGCCUGAGAGGGCGACCGGCCACACUGGGACUGAGACACGGCCCAGACUCC
rnacentral:rRNA from 1 species